CAAUAGAUGACGUUUCUAAGUAUUGAUCGCAAGGGAAGGGAUUGUUGUCGCGCUUUACACUUUCGGAAGGCGUUCGGUAAAGGUCCAUGCUGUUGCCUCAUGAACAAAAUACGAGCGUAUGAAAUAUCAGACCAGAUUUGUGAUUUGAGUGAGGAGUUCCUGACAAAUACAAUACAGCAUAACACAGUGUAUUUCACGAGUGCACAUCGUAAUAGUGAAAUAUGCAGCUAUACUUCAUAAAACUGAAAUAUGGACGUGAAAAUGGAAUAACUGCCACCACAGCGCAAGAAUGAUGCUUCAUCUUUAUAGUGAUUGGAUGUAUGUGCUGCCAUUGAAGACCACCACAUACAGCUGACCAGCAUAGGCGACACUCCGCACCAAUUAUGUGCUAGUACCAUUAUCUACCAAGGUUGAAACAUGAAGUAAAACUUGACUAACACAAGAUAUGCUAAGUCGAUGGCAAUACAAGGGCAAUAAAUAGGAACAUUGCUUUUAUUAAGUAGAUGAAUUUUAAUGAAUGAAUGCUAAUAUAAAAUAAUGAAGUUUAAUGUCUGUUAUACAUUGAUCAGCCAAAACACUAUGACCACACCCAAUUGCAACGUUGGAUGCCACCUUGUGGCGCUGCAUGUACGUAAUGUGGCAGCAAAAGUGCAAAGCAAACAUGGACAGGGAUAACUCUAGUGAAGAUACAUUAUCACACAGAGCCCAUGAAUGAGUAUCUCAAACAUGGUGCAGGUGGUCAAAUGAUAGCAUGCUACUGUUAUGAGCAUCUACAGAAAGAGGUAGAGAGAUAGUGAAACUACAACUAGGUGUUAAAUGAUUCAUGACCUGUGCAUAGAUGUGUAAUACCACCUCAAACUUACCAACACCUUGUUCAAUCCCUGAUACACAGAAUCAGUUGUAUAUUUUAUUCCAGCUACGAAGAAACAAGUUAACUAGGUGUUAAAUGAUUAAUGACCUGUGCAUAGAUGUCUAAUACCACCACAAACUUACCAACACCUUGUUCAAUCCCUGAUACACAGAAUCAGUGAUAUAUUUCAUUCCAGCUACGAAGAAGCAAGUUAAAUAGAUGUUAAAUGAUUCAUGACCUGUGCAUAGAUGUCUAAUACCACCACAAACUUACCAACACCUUGUUCAAUCCCUGAUACACAGAAUCAGUGAUAUAUUUCAUUCCAGCUACGAAGAAACAAGUUAAUGAACAGGUGGUCAUAAAGUUUUGGGUCAUCACUGUAUACGUAGAUGUUUCUGUUGAUUUAAGUUUAACCUGAUUCAUUUAUUUCUUGUGAUAUCUGUAACUGUUAGUGUUUUCAUAUAACUCAUUUACAAAUUUGCCAACCUAGAGUAAUUAGAAUGUAAAAGUAUAGAUUAUGUUGCUGUAUAUUUUUACCUGACAUGCUUGAAGGCUUAAAAAUAAAUGUUGAAUAAUGACAUACUAUUAACAA